rnacentral:rRNA from 1 species
GCCUACGGGAGGCAGCAGCAAGGAAUAUUGGGCAAUGGGCGAAAGCCUGACCCAGCGACGCCGCGUGGGGGAUGAAGGCCUUAGGGUUGUAAACCCCUUUUGCCGGGGAAGAAUAAUGACGGUACCCGGCGAAUAAGCCACGGCUAACUACGUGCCAGCAGCCGCGGUC